rnacentral:rRNA from 1 species
CGCGUAGGCGGUCGGGUAAGUCGAGUGUGAAAUUCCGGGGCUCAACCCCGCGAACUGCAUUCGAUACUGCUCGACUAGAGAGAGGUAGGGGCGAGCGGAAUUCCCGGUGUAGCGGUGGAAUGCGUAGAUAUCGGGAAGAACACCGGUGGCGAAGGCGGCUCGCUGGGCCUUUUCUGACGCUGAAGCGCGAAAGCGUGGGGAGCAAACA